UACGUAGGGGGCUAGCGUUGUCCGGAUUUAUUGGGCGUAAAGAGUUCGUAGGCGGUUUGUUACGUCUAAUGUUAAAGAUCAGGGCUCAACCCUGGGACUGCAUUGGAUACUGGCAGACUGGAGUGUGGUAGAGGUAAGUGGAAUUUCUGGUGUAGCGGUGAAAUGCGUAGAUAUCAGGAAGAACACCAGUGGCGUAGGCGACUUACUGGGCCAUAACUGACGCUGAGGAACGAAAGCGAGGGGAGCAAAUGGG
rnacentral:rRNA from 1 species